UACAGAGGUCUCAAGCGUUGUUCGGAUUCAUUGGGCGUAAAGGGUGCGUAGGCGGCGCGGUAAGUCGGGUGUGAAAUCUUGGAGCUUAACUCCGAAACUGCAUUCGAUACUGCCGUGCUUGAGGACUGGAGAAGAGACUGGAAUUUACGGUGUAGCGGUGAAAUGCGUAGAUAUCGUAAGGAACACCUGCGGCGAAGGCGGGUUGCUGGGCUGACACUGACGCUGAUGCGCGAAAGCCAGGGGAGCGAACGGG
rnacentral:rRNA from 1 species